rnacentral:rRNA from 1 species
GGACUACAAGGGUUUCUAAUCCUGUUUGCUCCCCUUGCUCUCGCGCCUCAGCGUCAGGUCUUAAGCUAGAAAACCGCUUUCGCCACUGGUGUUCUUCCACAUAUCUACGCAUUUCACCGCUACACGUGGAAUUCCAUUUUCUCCGCCUUCCCUCUAGAUAGGAAGUUUCAAAUGCAGCUCCGAAAUUGAGUUCCGGAAUUUCACAUCUGACUUUCCUUUCCGCCUACGCGCCCUUUACGCCCAAUAACUCCGAUUAAUGCUUGCACCCUCCGUAUUACCGCGGCGGCUGGCAC